CUGGAAUGAAUGGUGAAUGUACUAUAUCCCCAGUGGAAAGAAUAAAUGACUUUGUUACUCAUGUUACAUGUAACACCUUAUUAAUAUCAAAAUAUCAAAAGUUUGAGGGCAAUGCCAAUGCUAAGACUAUUUAAGCUGCUAUUUUUUAAGAUUCGUUUAAUAUAUUUAUUAUCAAGAUAAAUUGUCUAGUCGAGACCUCGAACUAUUGUUGUCUAGUUAUUGUCAUAUGUUAUACUAAACUACGUUGAACUAGUGUUCUGAAAAGUAUUGCUUUAAUUUACCGAUGUACAAGAUGCGGAACGCGGAAUAUGUUUGCUGUUGACAAGGUAAUCUGUCCCAGGGG